CCUACGGGUCGCAGCAGUGAGGAAUAUUGGUCAAUGGACGAGAGUCUGAACCAGCCAAGUAGCGUGAAGGAUGACUGCCCUAUGGGUUGUAAACUUCUUUUAUAUGGGAAUAAAAUGUUCCACGUGUGGGAUUUUGUAUGUACCAUAUGAAUAAGGAUCGGCUAACUCCGUGCCAGCAGCCGCGGUAAUACGGAGGAUCCGAGCGUUAUCCGGAUUUAUUGGGUUUAAAGGGAGCGUAGGUGGAUUGUUAAGUCAGUUGUGAAAGUUUGCGGCUCAACCGUAAAAUUGCAGUUGAAACUGGCAGUCUUGAGUACAGUAGAGGUGUGCGGAAUUCGUGGUGUAGCGGUGAAAUGCUUAGAUAUCACGAAGAACUCCGAUUGCGAAGGCAGUUCACUGGACUGCAACUGACACUGAGGCUCGAAAGUGUGGGUAUCAAACAGGAUUAGAUACCCUUGUAGUC
rnacentral:rRNA from 1 species